rnacentral:rRNA from 1 species
UAAAGGUAUUCCGGUAGACGAUGGGGAUGCGUUCCAUUAGAUAGUAGGCGGGGUAACGGCCCACCUAGUCUUCGAUGGAUAGGGGUUCUGAGAGGAAGGUCCCCCACAUUGGAACUGAGACACGGUCCAAACUCCUACGGGAGGCAGCAGUGAGGAAUAUUGGUCAAUGGGCGCAGGCCUGAACCAGCCAAGUAGCGUGAAGGAUGACUGCCCUAUGGGUUGUAAACUUCUUUUAUAAAGGAAUAAAGUCGGGUAUGGAUACCCGUUUGCAUGUACUUUAUGAAUAAGGAUCGGCUAACUCCGUGCCAGCAGCCGCGGUAAUACGGAGGAUCCGAGCGUUAUCCGGAUUUAUUGGGUUUAAAGGGAGCGUAGAUGGAUGUUUAAGUCAGUUGUGAAAGUUUGCGGCUCAACCGUAAAAUUGCAGUUGAUACUGGAUAUCUUGAGUGCAGUUGAGGCAGGCGGAAUUCGUGGUGUAGCGGCGAAAUGCUUAGAUAUCACGAAGAACUCCGAUUGCGAAGGCAGCCUGCUAAGCUGCAACUGACAUUGAGGCUCGAAAGUGUGGGUAUCAAACAGGAUUAGAUACCCUGGUAGUCCACACGGUAAACGAUGAAUACUCGCUGUUUGCGAUAUACGGCAA